GUCYAAUCUGCCCAUUGAAAAUAUUUUUUUAAAAGGCCGCAGUAUACUAACUGUGCAAAGGUAGCAUAAUCAGUAGUUUCUUAAUUGGAGGCUUGUAUGAAUGAUUGGAUAAAAAUUAAACUGUCUUUUCUUAAAAAAUUGAAUUUUAUUUUUAAGUGAAAAAGCUUAAAUGAAUUAGAGGGACGAUAAGACCCUAUAAAUCUUAAUGUAAUUGUUUUUAUUUAGCUAUAAAUGUAAAUGUUAAGAUGCUAAUAAGAAUAAAUUCAUUGUGCUGGGGCGGUAGAGAUAUAGAAAAACUAUUUAAAUAAAAAACAAAAGUAUUUGUAAAGUAGAAGAUCUUAAUUAUAAAUUUAAAGAAUAAGUUACUUUAGGGAUAACAGCAUAAUUUCUUUUGAGAGUUCAGAUCGAAAAAGAAGUUUGUGACCUCGAUGUUGAAUUAAAAAUUCCU
rnacentral:rRNA from 1 species